rnacentral:rRNA from 1 species
AGUGAACGCUGGCGGUAGGCCUAACACAUGCAAGUCGAACGGCAGCACAGUAAGAGCUUGCUCUUACGGGUGGCGAGUGGCGGACGGGUGAGGAAUACAUCGGAAUCUACUUUUUCGUGGGGGAUAACGUAGGUAAACUUACUCUAAUACCGCAUACGACCUACGGUUGAAAGCAGGGGAUCUUCUGACCUUGCGCGAUUGAAUGAGCCGAUGUCGGAUUAGCUAGUUGGCGGGGUAAAGGCCCACCAAGGCGACGAUCCGUAGCUGGUCUGAGAGGAUGAUCAGCGACACUGGAACUGAGACACGGUCCAGACGACUAAGAGAGGCAGCAGUGGGGAAUAUUGGACAAUGGGCGCAAGCAUGAUCCAGCCAUACCGCGUGGGUGAAGAAGGCCUUCGGGUUGUAAAGACCUUUUGUUGGGAAAGAAAAGCAGCAGGUUAAUACCCAGCUGUUCUGACGGUACCCAAAGAAUAAGCACCGGCUAACUUCGUG